CUGGAAGAAUCUGGAGGACAGGUGGCUGCAUGGCUGUCGUCAGCUCGUGUCGUGAGAUGUUGGGUUAAGUCCCGCAACGAGCGCAACCCUUGCCUUUAGUUGCCAGCAGUUCGGCUGGGCACUCUAAAGGGACUGCCGGUGUUAAACCGGAGGAAGGUGGGGAUGACGUCAAGUCCCCAUGGCCUUUAUGACCAGGGCUACACACGUACUACAAUGGCCGAUACAAAGGGCAGCGACACUGCGAGGUGAAGCCAAUCCCGUAAAAUCGGUCUCAGUCCGGAUUGGAGUCUGCAACUCGACUCCAUGAAGUUGGAAUCGCUAGUAAUCGUGGAUCAGCAUGCCACGGUGAAUACGUUCCCGGGCCUU
rnacentral:rRNA from 1 species